rnacentral:rRNA from 1 species
AGAGUUUGAUCCUGGCUCAGGAUGAACGCUAGCGGCAGGCUUAACACAUGCAAGUCGAGGGGCAGCAUAAUGGAUAGCAAUAUCUAUGGUGGCGACCGGCGCACGGGUGCGUAACGCGUAUGCAACCUACCUUUAACAGGGGGAUAACACUGAGAAAUUGGUACUAAUACCCCAUAAUAUCAUAGAAGGCAUCUUUUAUGGUUGAAAAUUCCGAUGGUUAGAGAUGGGCAUGCGUUGUAUUAGCUAGUUGGUGGGGUAACGGCUCACCAAGGCGACGAUACAUAGGGGGACUGAGAGGUUAACCCCCCACACUGGUACUGAGACACGGCCCAGACUCCUACGGGAGGCAGCAGUGAGGAAUAUUGGUCAAUGGACGCAAGUCUGAACCAGCCAUGCCGCGUGCAGGAUGACGGCUCUAUGAGUUGUAAACUGCUUUUGUACGAGGGUAAACGCAGAUACGUGUAUCUGUCUGAAAGUAUCGUACGAAUAAGGAUCGGCUAACUCCGUGCCAGCAGCCGCGGUAAUACGGAGGAUUCAAGCGUUAUCCGGAUUUAUUGGGUUUAAAGGGUGCGUAGGCGGUUUGAUAAGUUAGAGGUGAAAUUUCGGGGCUCAACCCUGAACGUGCCUCUAAUACUGUUGAGCUAGAGAGUAGUUGCGGUAGGCGGAAUGUAUGGUGUAGCGGUGAAAUGCUUAGAGAUCAUACAGAACACCGAUUGCGAAGGCAGCUUACCAAACUAUAUCUGACGUUGAGGCACGAAAGCGUGGGGAGCAAACAGGAUUAGAUACCCUGGUAGUCCACGCAGUAAACGAUGAUAACUCGUUGUCGGCGAUACACAGUCGGUGACUAAGCGAAAGCGAUAAGUUAUCCACCUGGGGAGUACGUUCGCAAGAAUGAAACUCAAAGGAAUUGACGGGGGCCCGCACAAGCGGAGGAACAUGUGGUUUAAUUCGAUGAUACGCGAGGA